CUCUCACAACAACAUCGAAGUCAUAUCGCCGGGUGCAUUCGCCGAUAUGUUUAUGUUGGACCAACUCGAUCUGAGGAACAACAGGAUCAAAAUAUUACCAGAAAUGAUUUUCAGAGAUUUGCACGCCUUAUUCUAUUUAUACCUGCAAGAUAACCAGAUUGAUGGAAUCCCGGAAGGUGCUUUGUCUGAAAUGGAGACGUUGAGGACCCUGUAAGAUACCUCCAGUAUCACAAUAAUGGUCUAACAUUAGCGUGAAUGCUUUGACAAAGAGCACUCAAGCUA